rnacentral:tRNA from 1 species
GUGCCUGUAGCUCAGUGUCUAGGGCGCUGGCCAUAUACACCAGAGCUGGCGGGUUCAAAUCCAGUUCAGGCCCG